rnacentral:rRNA from 1 species
CGUAGGCAGCGAGCGUUGUUCGGAGUUACUGGGCGUAAAGGGUGUGUAGGCGGUUGUUUAAGUUUGGUGUGGAAUCUCCCGGCUCAACUGGGAGGGUGCGCCGAAUACUGAAUGACUUGGAGUGCGGGAGAGGAGAGUGGAAUUCCUGGUGUAGCGGUGAAAUGCGUAGAUAUCAGGAGGAACACCGGUGGUGUAGACGGCUCUCUGGACCGUAACUGACGCUGAGACACGAAAGCGUGGGUAGCAAACAGG